rnacentral:rRNA from 1 species
AGCAGCAGCCGCGGUAAUACGAAGGGGGCUAGCGUUGUUCGGAUUUACUGGGCGUAAAGCGCACGUAGGCGGACUUUUAAGUCAGGGGUGAAAUCCCGGGGCUCAACCCCGGAACUGCCUUUGAUACUGGAAGUCUUGAGUAUGGUAGAGGUGAGUGGAAUUCCGAGUGUAGAGGUGAAAUUCGUAGAUAUUCGGAGGAACACCAGUGGCGAAGGCGGCUCACUGGACCAUUACUGACGCUGAGGUGCGAAAGCGUGGGGAGCAAACAGGAUUAGAUACCCGGGUAGUCCCUGUCUCUUAUAC